AGCAGCCGCGGUAAUUCCAGCUCCAAUAGCGUAUAUUAAAGUUGUUGCAGUUAAAAAGCUCGUAGUUGGAUUUCGGGGUUAGUAGGUUGGUCAUGCCUCUGGUAUGUACUGGUCUCACUGAUUCCUCCUUCCUGAUGAGCCGUAAUGCCAUUAAUUUGGUGUUGCGGGGAAUUUGGACUGUUACUUUGAAAAAAUUAGAGUGUUUAAAGCAAGCUAACGCUUGAAUACAUUAGCAUGGAAUAAUGAAAUAGGACGUUCGAUCCUAUUUUGUUGGUUUCUAGGAUUGACGUAAUGAUUAAUAGGGAUAGUUGGGGGCAUUAGUAUUCAAUUGUCAGAGGUGAAAUUCUUGGAUUUAUUGAAGACUAACUACUGCGAAAGCAUUUGCCAAGGAUGUUUUCAUUAAUCAAGAACGAAAGUUAGGGGAUCGAAGACGAUCAGAUACCGUCGUAGUCUUAACCAUAAACUAUGCCGACUAGGGAUCGGAUGAUGUUAAUUUUUUAAUGACUCA
rnacentral:rRNA from 1 species